AGAGUGCCUCUAUAAAGAUGUUUGAGCACCUGGUGGAGUGUAAUAAACUGGAGGACGUGAUGAAAAUGUACAAGCUGGAUCUGCCACAGGACUUGGAUUUUAUCAAGGACAUGAUUGCAGGACCACUAGCUCAAAGCCAGGAGGAAAAUCCCUCUGUAAUUGUUUGAAAUCAUUCAGUAGCAUCAUUGUUAAAGCAGCUAAUGUCUAAUGCUUCUAAUGUCAUUGUCAUCUGUUAUCUCUGCAGUGGCCAUAUAAGGGCCGUACAGAGGAAAAGUCCUUUCUCUAUGAAAUCGUGGCCAACGAAAGAAAUAGCAUUGAUGUGGACAAGUUUGACUACCUUGCCAGAGAUUGCCAAUACUUGGGCAUCCAGAACAACUUUGACUAUCAUCGCUUCCUCACGUUUGCCAAGGUGUGUGAGGUGGACGGUCAGAAGCACAUCUGCAUUAGAGACAAGGAGGUUGGCAAUCUGUAUAACUUGUUUCACACAAGAUACUGUCUCCACAAAAGAGCCUGUCAGCAUAGAGUGCAUUCUAUCAUAGAGAAUAUGAUCACAGAGGCCUUUUUAAAAGCAGACGGGUACAUCCAGAUUGAAGGCUCAGGAGGGAAGAUGUUCACUCUCUCCACAGCCAUAGAUGACAUGGAGGCCUACACCAAGC